AUUUAUAUAGUUUAAAUUAAAACAUUACACUUUCACUGUAAAAAUACUUCAAUUAGUUAUAAAUU
rnacentral:tRNA from 1 species